AUUGUCAAUUGGUGAUAGUAGUUCUUAAGCGUUAUAGUGGAUUUCUAUCUCACGGUUGCUUGAGUUAUUCUACUUUCACCAAUUGGCCUU